rnacentral:rRNA from 1 species
GAAAGGCGCUUUUGCGUCACUGAUGGAUGGACCCGCGGUGCAUUAGCUAGUUGGUGAGGUAACGGCUCACCAAGGCCACGAUGCAUAGCCGACCUGAGAGGGUGAUCGGCCACACUGGGACUGAGACACGGCCCAGACUCCUACGGGAGGCAGCAGUAGGGAAUCUUCGGCAAUGGACGAAAGUCUGACCGAGCAACGCCGCGUGAGUGAAGAAGGUUUUCGGAUCGUAAAACUCUGUUGUUAGAGAAGAACAAGGAUGAGAGUAGAACGUUCAUCCCUUGACGGUAUCUAACCAGAAAGCCACGGCUAACUACGUGCCAGCAGCCGCGGUAAUACGUAGGUGGCAAGCGUUGUCCGGAUUUAUUGGGCGUAAAGCGAGCGCAGGCGGUUUCUUAAGUCUGAUGUGAAAGCCCCCGGCUCAACCGGGGAAGGUCAUUGGAAACUGGGAGACUUGAGUGCAGAAGAGGAGAAUGGAAUUCCAUGUGUAGCGGUGAAAUGCGUAGAUAUAUGGAGGAACACCAGUGGCGAAGGCGGCUCUCUGGUCUGUAACUGACGCUGAGGCUCGAAAGCGUGGGGAGCGAACAGGAUUAGAUACCCUGGUAGUCCACGCCGUAAACGAUGAGUGCUAAGUGUUGGAGGGUUUCCGCCCUUCA